rnacentral:rRNA from 1 species
AAUUGGAGGGCAAGUCUGGUGCCAGCAGCCGCGGUAAUUCCAGCUCCAAUAGCGUAUAUUAAAGUUGUUGCAGUUAAAAAGCUCGUAGUUGAAUUUCGGGAUCAAUAUUUCGGUCAUGCCGUUGGUAUGCACUGUUAUCAUUGAUUUCUCACCUUCUAAAGAACCGUAAUGCCAUUAAUUUGGUGUUACGGGGAAUUAGGACUGUUACCUUGAAAAAAUUAGAGUGUUUAAAGCAGGCUCACGCUUGAAUACAUUAGCAUGGAAUAAUGAAAUAGGACAUCCGAUUCUAUUUUGUUGGUUUCUAGGAUCGAUGUAAUGAUUAAUAGGGAUAGUUGGGGGCAUUAGUAUUCAAUUGUCAGAGGUGAAGUUCUUGGAUUUAUUGAAGACUAACUACUGCGAAAGCAUUUGCCAAGGAUGUUUUCAUUAAUCAAGAACGAAAGUUAGGGGAUCGAAGACGAUCAGAUACCGUCGUAGUCUUAACCAUAAACUAUGCCGACUAGGGAUCGGAUGAUGUUAAUUUUUUAAUGACUCAUUCGGCGCCUUACGGGAAACCAAAGUGU